rnacentral:ribozyme from 1 species
GAAAAAACGGAAGAUCGCGGAAGGAUACUUCGCACUGGAAUGCCGGCGUCAUCCAACACAGGUCUGACAUCUUGGAGGACAGAGAAGCCAAACAAGGAAGGGAGACUGAUCACCACAAAAGGGGGGAAAGCGGAGAAGAUGAAGACACCAGAAGAAGACCAGGCGAAAAAAUUGAACAGUCGACUCCACAA